UACGAAGGGGGCUAGCGUUGCUCGGAAUCACUGGGCGUAAAGCGCACGUAGGCGGCUUUCUAAGUCAGGGGUGAAAUCCUGGAGCUCAACUCCAGAACUGCCUUUGAUACUGGAGAGCUUGAGUCCGGAAGAGGUGAGUGGAACUCCGAGUGUAGAGGUGAAAUUCGUAGAUAUCGAGAGGAACACCGGUGGCGAAGGCGGCCAACUGGACGAACACUGACGCUGAGACUCGAAAGCGUGGGGAGCGAACAGG
rnacentral:rRNA from 1 species